GUGGGGAAUAUUGGACAAUGGGCGAAAGCCUGAUCCAGCCAUGCCGCGUGUGUGAAGAAGGUCUUCGGAUUGUAAAGCACUUUAAGUUGGGAGGAAGGGCAGUAAGUUAAUACCUUGCUGUUUUGACGUUACCGACAGAAUAAGCACCGGCUAACUUCGUGCCAGCAGCCGCGGUAAUACGAAGGGUGCAAGCGUUAAUCGGAAUUACUGGGCGUAAAGCGCGCGUAGGUGGUUUUGUAAGACAGGUGUGAAAUCCCCGGGCUCAACCUGGGAACUGCUUUCAAAACUGCUGAGCUAGAGUACGGUAGAGGGUGGUGGAAUUUCCUGUGUAGCGGUGAAAUGCGUAGAUAUAGGAAGGAACACCAGUGGCGAAGGCGACCACCUGGACUGAUACUGACACUGAGGUGCGAAAGCGUGGGGAGCAAACAGGAUUAGAAACCCGAGUAGUCC
rnacentral:rRNA from 1 species